UAAGGUGGUUAUAGCAAUGGGGCUCACCUCUUACCAUUCCGAACAGAGAAGUUAAGCCCAUUAGCGCAGAUGGUACUGCAUUUGUGGGAGAGUAUGUCGCCGCCUUCU
rfam:Nonlabens sediminis DNA, contig: contig00012, strain: JCM 19294.